UUACGGGGCAGUUAUAUCCAUGUGUAUAUUUAUCAACAUGAUAUAACCUCCCUGUACUC
rnacentral:pre_miRNA from 1 species